AAAUUGAAGAGUUUGAUCCUAGCUCAGAUUGAACGCUGGCGGCAUGCCUUAUACAUGCAAGUCGAACGCGAAAGUCCCUUCGGGGGCGAGUAGAGUGGCGGACGGGUGAGUAACACGUGGGAAUCUGCCCUAAAGUGGGGGACAACCUGAGGAAACUCGGGCUAAUACCGCAUAAGCUCCUCUUCGGAGGAGUAAAGCAGGGGACCUUCGGGCCUUGCGCUUUGGGAUGAGCCUGCGGCGGAUUAGCUAGUUGGUGGGGUAAUGGCCUACCAAGGCAACGAUCCGUAGCUGGUCUGAGAGGAUGGCCAGCCACACUGGAACUGAGACACGGUCCAGACUCCUACGGGAGGCAGCAGUAGGGAAUCUUGGACAAUGGGCGCAAGCCUGAUCCAGCGAUGCCGCGUGUGUGAAGAAGGCCUGCGGGUUGUAAAGCACUUUCAGUAGGGAGGAAAUACUCAGAAUUAAUAUUUUUGAGGGUUGACGUUACCUACAGAAGAAGCACCGGCUAACUCUGUGCCAGCAGCCGCGGUAAUACAGAGGGUGCAAGCGUUAAUCGGAGUUACUGGGCGUAAAGGGUGCGUAGGCGGAUAUUCAAGUCGGAUGUGAAAGCCCCGGGCUUAACCUGGGAAUUGCAUUCGAUACUGGAUGUCUAGAGUAUGGCAGAGGAAAGUGGAAUUUCCGGUGUAGCGGUGAAAUGCGUAGAUAUCGGAAGGAACACCAGUGGCGAAGGCGACUUUCUGGACCAAUACUGACGCUGAGGCACGAAAGCGUGGGGAGCAAACAGGAUUAGAGACCCUGGUAGUCCACGCUGUAAACUAUGAGAACUAGGCGUUACUCUUGUUUUUACAAGAGUAGUGCCGAAGCUAACGCGUUAAGUUCUCCGCCUGGGGAGUACGGUCGCAAGAUUAAAACUCAAAGGAAUUGACGGGGACCCGCACAAGCGGUGGAGCAUGUGGUUCAAUUCGAUGCAACGCGAAGAACCUUACCUACCCUUGACAUCCUCGGAACCCUGCAGAGAUGCAGGGGUGCCUUCGGGAAUCGAGUGACAGGUGCUGCAUGGCUGUCGUCAGCUCGUGUCGUGAGAUGUUGGGUUAAGUCCCGUAACGAGCGCAACCCCUGUCCUUAGUUGCUAGCGUGUUAAGACGAGCACUCUAAGGAGACUGCCGGUGAUAAACCGGAGGAAGGUGGGGAUGACGUCAAGUCAUCAUGGCCCUUAUGGGUAGGGCUACACACGUGCUACAAUGGGAAGUACAGAGGGUUGCCAAACCGCAAGGUGGAGCUAAUCCCAUAAAACUUCUCGUAGUCCGGAUUGAAGUCUGCAACUCGACUUCAUGAAGUUGGAAUCGCUAGUAAUCGCGAAUCAGAAUUGUCGCGGUGAAUACGUUCUCGGGUCUUGUACACACCGCCCGUCACACCAUGGGAGUGGAUUGUACCAGAAGUAGGUUGCUUAACCUUCGGGAGAGCGCUUACCACGGUGUGAUUCAUGACUGGGGUGAAGUCGUAACAAGGUAGCCGUAGGGGAACCUGUGGCUGGAUCACCUCCUUA
rnacentral:rRNA from 1 species